rnacentral:rRNA from 1 species
AUUGAACGCUGGCGGCAGGCCUAACACAUGCAAGUCGAGCGGAUGAAGGGAGCUUGCUCCUGGAUUCAGCGGCGGACGGGUGAGUAAUGCCUAGGAAUCUGCCUGGUAGUGGGGGAUAACGUCCGGAAACGGGCGCUAAUACCGCAUACGUCCUGAGGGAGAAAGUGGGGGAUCUUCGGACCUCACGCUAUCAGAUGAGCCUAGGUCGGAUUAGCUAGUUGGUGGGGUAAAGGCCUACCAAGGCGACGAUCCGUAACUGGUCUGAGAGGAUGAUCAGUCACACUGGAACUGAGACACGGUCCAGACUCCUACGGGAGGCAGCAGUGGGGAAUAUUGGACAAUGGGCGAAAGCCUGAUCCAGCCAUGCCGCGUGUGUGAAGAAGGUCUUCGGCUUGUAAAGCACUUUAAGUUGGGAGGAAGGGCGGUAAGUUAAUACCUUGCUGUUUUGACGUUACCAACAGAAUAAGCACCGGCUAACUUCGUG